rnacentral:rRNA from 1 species
UACGAAGGGGGCUAGCGUUGUUCGGAUUUACUGGGCGUAAAGCGCACGUAGGCGGAUAUUUAAGUCAGGGGUGAAAUCCCGGGGCUCAACCCCGGAACUGCCUUUGAUACUGGGUAUCUCGAGCCCGAGAGAGGUGAGUGGAAUUCCGAGUGUAGAGGUGAAAUUCGUAGAUAUUCGGAGGAACACCAGUGGCGAAGGCGGCUCACUGGCUCGGUACUGACGCUGAGGUGCGAAAGCGUGGGGAGCAAACAGG